rnacentral:rRNA from 1 species
CUUGGUCAUUUAGAGGAAGUAAAAGUCGUAACAAGGUCUCCGUUGGUGAACCAGCGGAGGGAUCAUUACCGAGUUUACAACUCCCAAACCCCUGUGAACAUACCAAUUGUUGCCUCGGCGGAUCAGCCCGCUCCCGGUAAAACGGGACGGCCCGCCAGAGGACCCCUAAACUCUGUUUCUAUAUGUAACUUCUGAGUAAAACCAUAAAUAAAUCAAAACUUUCAACAACGGAUCUCUUGGUUCUGGCAUCGAUGAAGAACGCAGCAAAAUGCGAUAAGUAAUGUGAAUUGCAGAAUUCAGUGAAUCAUCGAAUCUUUGAACGCACAUUGCGCCCGCCAGUAUUCUGGCGGGCAUGCCUGUUCGAGCGUCAUUUCAACCCUCAAGCCCCCGGGUUUGGUGUUGGGGAUCGGCGAGCCCUUGCGGCAAGCCGGCCCCGAAAUCUAGUGGCGGUCUCGCUGCAGCUUCCAUUGCGUAGUAGUAAAACCCUCGCAACUGGUACGCGGCGCGGCCAAGCCGUUAAACCCCCAACUUCUGAAUGUUGACCUCGGAUCAGGUAGGAAUACCCGCUGAACUUAAGCAUAUCAAUAA